CUGCCUGACUGGCCCCUGGAACAGGAGGUUCUAUCUUCCUGACUGGCCCCUGGAACCGGAGGGUCUAUCUGCCUGACUGGUCCCUGGAACAGGAGGUUCUAUCUUCCUGACUGGUCCCUGGAACAGGAGGGUCUAUCUUCCUGACUGGUCCCUGGAACAGGAGGGUCUAUCUUCCUGACUGGUCCCUGGAACAGGAGGUUCUAUCUUCCUGACUGGUCCCUGGCAUUCCCAAGCAUUUUGCUACACUUACAUUAACACCUGUUAACCAUGUGUAUGUGACCGUACAGUUUGAUCUUCCUGUGGAUCUUCCUGCAGGGGAUGUUAUUAUCAAGGGUCUUAUUCUGGUAACAUGAUGAUCGAUGUUUGGUUGGCGUCUGACAAAUAAAUAUUAUCUUGGUCUUUUGUCCAA
ensembl:lncRNA